CCGCUGCCUGAGUGGAGACCCUCGGCCGAGCCACAUUCCCAACCCAGAUGGGCAUCAACAUCUCCCAAGAGCCUGGACAAACACAGGUUCAGGGCUCCACUCCAGACCCAGCAAAUCAGGGACAAGACUGCCCUCCCUACGACUGAGCCUUGUCUAUCUGGCGUCUCCAGUGCCCAUCUUCACAGCUAACACUGGGCAGGGGCUGAUGGAAUAACUGAAUGUGAACGUUCUUCCUGUGGCUCUGGAUCGGUGUGGGGUGCCACUGGAGCCCCCAUCUCCCCACCUCCCCUGCGGGGUCCCCAUGGUCGCCUCACCCAGCAGCUCGAUGGCCUUAGUGGUCCCAUACACGUCCAUCACGG
rnacentral:lncRNA from 10 species